rnacentral:lncRNA from 1 species
GGUGGCUAGAUGAGUGGUGGUUAUGUUGAUUUGGGUUCGUUAUUUGGGUUUUCUAGUGUUAAAGAGACAUUAGGAGGAUGGUUACCCAAUGAUUAUGGAAGUUAGUAAUCCAAUUUAAAUAUGAUUUUUUUUUCUUUCAGAUAUCUUAUAGGCAUUUUUUUUGUUAUCCAUGUGGACAAGAUUGUACAUGGCACUUUGUUACCAUGCCAAAUGAGUCACCUAUACUUUGGGAGUUUGGGGGUGGGAGGAU